AUACGUAGGGGGCAAGCGUUCUCCGGAUUUACUGGGUGUAAAGGGAGCGUAGACGGUGUGACGAGUCUGAUGUGAAAACCCGGGGCUCAACUCCGGGAUUGCAUUGGAAACUGCCAUACUUGAGUGCAGGAGAGGUAAGCGGAAUUCCUAGUGUAGCGGUGAAAUGCGUAGAUAUUAGGAGGAACAACGGCGGCGAAGACGACUUACUGGACUGUAAAUGACUUUGAGGCGCGAAAGCGUGAGGAGCAAACAGGAUUAGAUUCCCUGGUAGUCCACGCGGUAAACGAUGAAUACUAGGAGUUGUGAGUCUAUAGACCCUCGGUGCCGCAGCAAACGCAAUAAGUAUUCCACCUGGGGAGUACGUUCGCAAGAAGGAAACUCAAAGAAAUUGACGGGG
rnacentral:rRNA from 1 species